CUUGCUACAUUAAAACCACAUUAAUUUGUAUUGAAAAAAAUGUAUCAUUGGGAAUACGCCUGACAUUAUAUUAACCAGUACCUCUUGACUUACAGUACACUCUGUACAUUGUAAUGGGGGCCAAGUGCGAUUUCAGCGAGGAAAACAUGCUGCAAAUUAGGAGAUGGUGGUGUCUCACUCUCCUGCAGAACUUCCCCAUGCCGUCUGAAGAAGACCGAUUGCAGGACAGGAAACGGCGACGAGUGGAAGGAGGGCUACAGACGCUGGGAAAUUGACAAACUGCAAACCGGGAACAGGGUUGGAAGGAUGGUGAAAAUAAAAAAAAUCAAUGAUGCAAA